UACGAGGGGGGCAAGCGUUGUUCGGAAUUAUUGGGCGUAAAGGGUGCGUAGGCGGUCUGAUAAGUCAUCUGUGAAAUCUAUGGGCUCAACCCAUAGUCUGCAGGCGAAACUGUCGGGCUUGAGUAUGGGAGAGGUGAGUGGGAUUUCCGGUGUAGCGGUGAAAUGCGUAGAUAUCGGAAGGAACACCUGUGGCGAAAGCGGCUCACUGGACCAUAACUGACGCUGAGGCACGAAAGCUAGGGGAGCAAACAGG
rnacentral:rRNA from 1 species